AUGGAGGAGGCCGAGGAGAUGCAGGUGGAGCGGGUGCACGAGGACGCGGAGCACGGGGGCGCCGACGCCGACAAGCUCAACUACGAGAUUUUCUCCAUCCUCGAGAGCAAGUUCCUCUUCGGCUACACGGACCCGCACCAGCUCUGGCUGCCCAAGCCGCCGCCGCCGGAGCAGGCGUCGGCGGCCAUGGCGGUCCCUGGGAAGGCGGCGCAGCGGGGGAAGGUGUGCGUGCUCUGCGUCGAUGGCGGCGGCGGCGGGCUGAGGGCGCUGCUCGCCGGCCGCGCGCUCGCGCACCUCGAGGCCGCGCUCCAGCGCGCGUCCGGGAGCCCCGACGCGCGCGUCGCCGACUUCUUCGACCUCGCCGCUGGCACGGGCGCGGGCGGCGUCUUCGCCGCGAUGCUCUUCUCGACCCACUCGCGCGGCGCCCCGCUGUUCCGCGCCGAGGACACCUGGCGCCUGGUGGCGGACCACGCGCCCAGGCUCUUCCGCAGGCCCGCCGGGUCCACCUCCCUCUUCUGCCGCGCCAAGAAGCGCCCGCUGGCCGCGCCCACGGCGGCGCUGAGCGCGGCCAUGAAGGCUGCGUUCGGCGAGGAGCUCACCCUGCGGGACACCAUCAAGCCCGUGCUCAUCUCCUGCUAUGACCUGAAGUCGUCCGCGCCGCUCUUGUUCUCGCGCGCCGACGCCCUGGAGAGCGGGAGCUAUGACUUCCGCCUCUCCGACGUCGGCCGCGCGGCCUGGUCGGAGCCCGGCCGCUUCGAGCCGGCCGAGGUGGCGUCGGUGGACGGCGUGACCUCCUGCGCCGCGGUGGACGGCGGGCCGACCAUGGGCAGCCCGGCCGCCGCCGCCAUCACGCACGUGCUGCACAACAAGCACGAGUUCCCGUUCGUGCGCGGCGUCGAGGACCUCCUCGUUCUCUCCAUCGGCGGCUGCUCCGGCGCGGGCGGCUCCGGGGCCACCGCGGACGCCGACAUCAUGCGCAUGCGCCGGUGGGGCCCCAAGGAGUGGGCCCGCCCCAUCGCCCGCAUCGCGGCCGAUGGCGCCGCCGACCUCGUGGACCACGCCGUUGCACGCGCCUUCGGGCAAUGCCACUCGUCCAAUUACCUGCGCAUUCAGGCGAAGCGGGAGAGCAUGCCGCCGUGCGGGCCGGACGGGGAGUACGACCCGACGCAGGCGAACGUGCAGGCGCUGCUCGCGGCGGCGGACGAGACGAUGAAGCAGCGCAACGUGGAGUCGGUGCUCUUCGAGGGGAGGCGGAUCGGGGAGCAGACCAACGCGGAGAAGCUGGAGUGGUUCGCCGCCGAGCUCGUCGCCGAGCACCGCGGCAGGGGCUCCCGGAUCGCGCCCACCGUCGCGUUCAAGCAGUCGCCGGUGCUGGGCUGA
rnacentral:rRNA from 1 species